GUGUCAGCAGCCGCGGUAAUACGUAGGUGGCAAGCGUUGUCCGGAUUUACUGGGCGUAAAGAGCGCGCAGGCGGUUGAUUAAGUCGAAUGUGAAAGCCCCCGGCUCAACUGGGGAGGGUCAUUCGAUACUGAUCGACUUGAAGGCAGGAGAGGGAAGUGGAAUUCCGGGUGUAGUGGUGAAAUGCGUAGAUAUCCGGAGGAACACCAGUGGCGAAGGCGACUUCCUGGCCUGUUCUUGACGCUGAGGCGCGAAAGCUGGGGGAGCAAACGGGAUUAGAAACCCGCGUAGUCC
rnacentral:rRNA from 1 species